rnacentral:lncRNA from 13 species
AAAUGGACUUAGAAUCAACCGUCCUCGUUUGAUACCAAAGGAGCUUGAGGCCAGAGCAAAUCCAGAGAAGGAUAUGGAUUUCCUGAAUGUCACACAGCCAGCCAGUGGCAGCUUUGACGCUACAGAACCUCAUCGUUUGAGACGCAGUUCAGCAGUCUUGGUACCCUGCCACGCUAAAAAUUCGCCCCAGGUUCUACAGAAGAAACGGCGCCCCAAGCAGCCAUGUAAGGAAGUUCUCUCGGCACAUUCAUUGUCCGGAUGGCGCGUGCAGCUUUGGAUCUGAGCGGGUGAGGCCUCGGGCAAAACAUAGCCUGUCUCCCUCUUCUUUCUACUGCUUGGGGAAAGCUCUACACACAGACUGCAUGGCAAGGGGUUCCACAGAUGUUAACUCGCGUCUGGGCCAGCAGAGGUGGGGGAAAUUGUGUUGCAUUUCUAUGGGGGACGACGAAAGAUAGUAAGCUCUCUAGGAGGUAAACCAGGUCAUGCUGUAGAUUGACCAAAUGGCCUGGCUGUGAGAGAGGGACCAAGAAGCAGCCUUUGGGGAGAGGGGGAAAACUGACGGCCAUAGCAGGGCUAUGCUGGCAGUGGGCAGAGAGCCCGUCGUGGCCCCCCAGCCAUGUGACACCCUGCUCAGGGGCACUCCUCUCACUUUAAGGUUGCAUUUGAGCACACUGCAAGCAAGCCCACCCAUUUUCUUGACCUCACUGUUUUUAAAAUGGAGGCAAGUCCCUACCUUACAAAGGGGUUGGCAAGGGUGGUGACAAUGAUGUUGUCCAGGUGCCAUGUUGGAUGCUGAGAGCUUCACGCGUAUCCACACGUUUAAUUCCCACAAGCCCGGGAGGUAAGUACACUGAGAGGCUAAGGAAUUGCUCAGGGUGGCCUGAUGGGUAGGUGGGAGGCGUGGAAUUAAGCCUGGGAGAUCUGGGCUGGGAAGCGUGCACUUCACCACCCAUGAUGCUACAGAAAGAACUCUUUUUGCCCUUGCAACUUAAAUGACCUUUUGUGGCUCAGGUUGUCCUCCAGUAGUUGAGGUUAAGUCAGCAGCACUGGCUUAGAGAAGAUACAUCUAGGAAUCUGGAGAUUCCUCUUCCUCUUAGAUAAUGUACCUUUAGGUUACCAUUUUCCAAAGGCCCUAAACCAGUGCACCAGGGGCGUGCUCUUGAGUUCACAGG